rnacentral:lncRNA from 1 species
AGGAAGUGGCAUUAAAUGAGCUCUCAGAGGCCUCCCAGCAGUGACCCAGAAUGAGGAAGGAGCUGGGGCCAUACCAGAGUCAGAGCUGGACCGGGAGCACGGCAGGGCCCAGCCAUCCACAGCCUCCAAUUUCAGUACUCUCUAACAACCUGAGAGCCUGAGCCUUCGGAUCUUCUUGAUUCCUACUUUGAUAAAGAGAGGGAUGGGGUUGGAAGGACCUGGCAUAGAGAUUGGACCAGUCCGGCAUUGACAGAGCCAGGACCUGGGGUCCGGAACUGAGCUCAGCUCCAGGCUCAUCUGAAGUCACCCUGACAGCCUGAGGAUGGAGACCUUAUUUCCAUUAACAGGCAUGGCGGUUGGCAGGGACUGGCCCCAGCUGAGCACGGUUUUCCAAGUACACAGCUGGGAAUUAAGUCUUCUCUGCCGCCCUCCCCUGUAGUCUUGCCUGGAUCCCCCCAGUCAUCUACUCCCAGUACCAAAAACUCCUGUAUUCUUGAAAAUCCGUAGUACUGAGAGGUGACAGCUUGCUGGCAGUCCUCAACAGCCCUCGCUCGCUCUCGGCGCCUCCUCUGCCUGGGCUCCCACUUUGGCGGCACUUGAGGAGCCCUUCAGCCCACCGCUGCACUGUGGGAGCCCUUUUCUGGGCUGGCCAAGGCUGGAGCCCGCUCCCUCAGCUUGCACGGAGGUGUGGAGGGAGAGGCGCGAGCGGGAACCGGGGCUGCGCGCGCGGCACUUGCGGGCCAGCUGGAGUUCCGGGUGGGCGUGGGCUCGGCGGGCCCUGCACUCGGAGCAGCCGGCCGGCCCUGCCGGCCCCGGGCAAUGAGGGGUUUAGCACCCGGGCCAGCGGCUGCGGAGGGUGUACUGGGUCCCCCAGCAGUGCCGGCCCACUGGCGCUGCGCUUGAUUUCUCGCCGGGCCUUAGCUGCCUUCCCGACGGGCAGGGCUCGGGACCGCCAUGCCUGAGCCUCUCACCCCCUCCGUGGGCUCCUGUGCAGCCGGAGCCUCCCCGACGAGCACCUCCCCCUGCUCCAGGGCGCCCAGUCCCAUCGACCACCCAAGGGCUGAGGAGUGCGGGCGCACGGCGCGGGAGCACGGCGCGGGACUGGCAGGCAGCUCCACCUGCAACCCCGGUGCGGGAUCCACUGGGUGACGACACCUGGGCUCCUGAGUCUGGUGGGGACGUGGAGAACCUUUAUGUUUAGCUAAGGGAUUGUAAAUACACCAAUUGGCACUGUGUAUCUAGCUCAAGUUUUGUAAACACACCAAUCAGCACCGUGUGUCUAGCUCAGGGUUUGUGAAUGCACCAAUUGACACUCUGUAUCUAGCUAGUCUGGUGGGGCCUUGGAGAACCUUUGUGUCCACACUCUGUAUCUAGCUAAUCUGGUGGGGAAGUGGAGAACAUUUGUGUCUAGCUCAGGGAUUGUAAACCACCAAUCAGCGCCCUGUCAAAACAGACCACUCCGCUCUACCAAUCAGCAGGGUGUGGGUGGGGCCAGAUAAGA